rnacentral:rRNA from 1 species
UACGUAGGGUGCAAGCGUUAAUCGGAAUUACUGGGCGUAAAGCGUGCGCAGGCGGCUUUGCAAGACAGAUGUGAAAUCCCCGGGCUUAACCUGGGAACUGCAUUUGUGACUGCAAGGCUAGAGUGUGUCAGAGGGAGGUGGAAUUCCGCGUGUAGCAGUGAAAUGCGUAGAGAUGCGGAGGAACACCGAUGGCGAAGGCAGCCUCCUGGGAUAACACUGACGCUCAUGCACGAAAGCGUGGGGAGCAAACAGG